rnacentral:tRNA from 1 species
AGUCUUAUAUUCAAAUAAUGAUUUAAAAUUGCAAAUUUUAAGGUGUAAUUAAUACUAAGGCUU